rnacentral:lncRNA from 1 species
UUUUUAAAUUUUUUUUUAAUUUUUUUUUAUUUUUACUCCUGUGGGAGGGAAAAUUCUAGAAUACACCGGGUAUAUUAGUGACAUGGCGUCACCACUACAACAGAAUUGGGUUAUAGGGACACAUAUUUGAGACACUUUUGAGUGUCCCAUUUAUGCUAAAAUUUUAAAAAACAUCUACUAAUGCCUAAAUAUAAAGUCCAAUCCAACCAAAAAUAAAAGAUUACUCUACUCAACCCACCACACCCAGUCCAUUUGUCCCGAUUACAAAUAGAAAAGAAAAAAAAAAAGAAAAAUCAAUUACCAUCUUUUCUUCUCUCUUCACUCAAUCCACUGAAAUUUUAGACGAAGAGUCUUUCCUGUCGUCCUCCUUCGCUACCGCAGCCAACGAGAUAGAAUUUCAACGGUUGCUAAAUGCUUAAAUAAGUUUUGAUAAAUUAGCAGCACUCUUUUAAAUUAUAGCGACACUCUUUAACUGUCACUAUAUACCUAGCGACCUCACAUAUAGCAACACUUUUUAAAAAUGUCGGUAAUUUUAGCUAGCAGUACUUUUUGGACAUGUACCUAUAUUUAAAAGUGUCGCUAUAGACCAUUUUUGUUGUAGUGCACAAACCAAUCAAAUAAAUUCUUUUAAAGAUAUAUGUCUCAUCAUGAUUAUAAAAAAAUAUUUUUAUUAUACUUUUAUUUGAAAAAAAGAUAUGUGAUUGACUUGUUAUUGAUGACGUGGUGCAAGCGUGACAGUGUAGAACUUCUCUGUGGGAGGGAGGAGGA